rfam:Physcomitrella patens subsp. patens PHYPAscaffold_62 genomic scaffold, whole genome shotgun sequence.
UUAAAAGCUUUUCUAAAAGCUCUUAUUUGUUCCAAAAAAAAUUAGU